AGGAUCAUUCGCAAUGGGGGAAACCCUGACGAUGCGACGCUGCGUGGAGGAUGAAGGCCUUCGGGUUGUAAACUCCUGUCAUGACGGAAAAGGAGAGGGGGCCCAACACGUCCCUUAUUUGAUGGUACGUCAAGAGGAAGAGACGGCUAACUCUGUGCCAGCAGCCGCGGUAAUACAGAGGUCUCGAGCGUUGUUCGGAUUUACUGGGCGUAAAGGGCGCGUAGGCGGCGCGGCGUGUCGAGUGUGAAAUCUCCGGGCUCAACCCGGAAAGUGCGCUCGAAACUGCCGUGCUGGAGUACGGGAUGGGGAAUCGGAAUGCAGGGUGUAGCGGUGAAAUGCGUUGAUAUCCUGCAGAACACCGGAGGCGAAGGCGGAUUCCUGGAAAGUUACUGACGCUGAGGCGCGAAAGUCGGGGGAGCAAACA
rnacentral:rRNA from 1 species